rnacentral:lncRNA from 1 species
AGUGUUACAGUAGAUGGGCUCGCAGGAGCCUGGAGUCCCUCCAUACAGAAGUGUGGUCCUUUGCCAUUUUCUUCAGCCUUACAGUUUUGCACGCCAAUGCCGCUGGUUGUUCCGUCUUGUCCUUCAGCCACAUCUCAGCACCACAGCGCCUAAACAUGUUGCUCCUCUGUCUUUUAUCUUGGUUUUCAUGGAGAGGGAGUGGAGUCACUGCGCACAAGCCAGGACGUCCUUCCCAGAGCUUUCCAAUCUGGAAGAAAGAGUUUCAGAGUUUCCAGAAGGGCUGCCUAAUGGGGUGGAGCGGCGAGGAAGCCAUAGACAGAAGAAAAUCAUGAAGCCGGAACCCUAAACCUCAUUCAUGGCCUGAAAACAAAAUCAAAGUCUGGGGACACGGCCGAGCAUUGCUGUGCCUCUUUAUGCUCUGACCCUUUAAUGGAAUUUCUUGUUCCUUAA